rnacentral:snRNA from 1 species
UUGCUUUGGCAGCAUACACGCUGACACUGAAGUGAUGCAGAGAAGAUUAGCAUGGGCCCCAUGCAAGGGUGACACGCAAAUUUGUGAAACAUUCCGUAUAGUU